rnacentral:rRNA from 1 species
GACGAACGCUGGCGGCGUGCUUAACACAUGCAAGUCAGGGGGCGGGGUAACCCGUCCCCGGCGAACGGGUGCGGAACACGUGAGCGACCUGCCCUUGUGUGGGGGAUAGCCGGCCCAACGGCCGGGUAAUACCGCAUACGGCGCCCGCUUUGAAGCCGGCGGCGAAACUCGCACGAGGCGCUAGGAGGGGCUCGCGGCCUAUCAGCUAGGUUGUCGGGUAACGGCGCGACAAGGCGAUGACGGGUUGAUGGUCUGAGAGGGUGGCCAGCAACAUUGGGACGGAGAGGCGGCCCAGAGUACGACGCGGGGCAGAAGUGGGGAAUAUUGCGGAAAGGGCGAAAGCGUGACGCAGCGACGCUGCGGAGAGGAUGAGGGCCUUAGAGGUGUAAACUCCGGUGGGCAGGGAAGAAUGCCCAGAAUCGGCGGGGUUGACGGUACCGGGAGAGGAAGCACCGGCUAACUCUGUG